rnacentral:rRNA from 1 species
AUGAACGCUGGCGGCGUGCCUAUUACAUGCAAGUCGAGCGAACGGACGAGAAGCUUGCUUCUCUGAUGUUAGCGGCGGACGGGUGAGUAACACGUGGAUAACCUACCUAUAAGACUGGGAUAACUUCGGGAAACCGGAGCUAAUACCGGAUGAUAUUUUGAACCGCAUGGUUCAAAAGUGAAAGACGGUCUUGCUGUCACUUAUAGAUGGAUCCGCGCUGCAUUAGCUAGUUGGUAAGGUAACGGCUUACCAAGGCAACGAUGCAUAGCCGACCUGAGAGGGUGAUCGGCCACACUGGAACUGAGACACGGUCCAGACUCCUACGGGAGGCAGCAGUAGGGAAUCUUCCGCAAUGGGCGAAAGCCUGACGGAGCAACGCCGCGUGAGUGAUGAAGGUCUUCGGAUCGUAAAACUCUGUUAUUAGGGAAGAACAUAUGUGUAAGUAACUGUGCACAUCUUGACGGUACCUAAUCAGAAAGCCACGGCUAACUACGUG